AGCUUCCCGGCUGCUUUGUUUACCUAAUCAAGCCUGGGCAAUGGCGGGCUCCCCUCCCCCAGCCUCGCUGCUGCCUUGCAGUUUGAUCUCAGACUGCUGUGCUAGCAAUCAGCGAGACUCCGUGGGCGUAGGACCCUCCGAGCCAGGUGUGGGAUAUAGUCUCGUGGUGCGCCGUUUUUUAAGCCCGUCGGAAAAGCGCAGUAUUCGGGUGGGAGUGACCCGAUUUUCCAGGUGCGUCCGUCACCCCUUUCUUUGACUCGGAAAGGGAACUCCCUGACCCCUUGCGCUUCCCAAGUGAGGCAAUGCCUCGCCCUGCUUCGGCUCGCGCACGGUGCGCGCACCCACUGACCUGCGCCCACUGUCUGGCACUCCCUAGAGAGAUGAACCCGGUACCUCAGAUGGAAAUGCAGAAAUCACCGUCUUCUGCGUCGCUCACGCUGGGAGCUGUAGACCAGAGCUGUUCCUAUUCGGCCAUCUUGGCUCCUUAUUCUCAUUACCUUCUUGAGUUGUGGCUCAGACACUACAACAGAGCUCUGUCACCUCUUUCUAAAAGCUGGGAAAUGGUUAUUGUCAACGCCAGCCCCAUUUUGGAGGCACCUGGUUGCAGGGGACCACAGCUAGACCCGAGUCAUCCCUGGAGUCUCACACUUGAUCUUAGCCAAAAGGCCGAGAAGCGAUCAUCCCUGGAGUCUCUCUGAAUCUGCCGUGAUCCUGGGGGCUGCCCGAUUCGUGCAUUGUUCAUUGCUCAAUUAAACUCCUUUAAAUUUAA
rnacentral:lncRNA from 1 species